CAUCCCAGCUUCCAGGCUGCUCUUCAGGGCUAGGCAGGUACUGACAUCCCCAGCGGAUCCAUCCAGUGGUGCCAGGGAAGAGAAGAAUGAUGCAAUAAAACCUCAGAUAAAGCCCCCGGGCUGUGCCCUCCUCCAUUGCCAAGCCCAGCUCUGCCUUAGCCCACACCUGGGGUCCGCCCACCACACAUGCAAAUCUGUCUUGGCAGUAGUUGUAGUAGUUGUUGUUGUUGUAGUGGUGUGUGUCUUUGGCGAGGACAGGGCGAGUUUGUCAGGAGGCAGCUUAGGAAAGUCUCCUGUGGAGACAGAGGAAGUGUUGGUGGCGGAGGCCGUUGUUGCAGGAGCCUUGAGGUAGAUGUUUGCUGCAGCCCUUGUACAGGAGGAGCAGGGGGCUCUGUGAAGGCUUUGUUGUGUGAGCUUGUGUCAGGGGAGAACAGGGAAGCGUUGUGGUGUUGGAGGCUGCAAACACGGAUGGUUUCUUGGCAGGUAGUUGUUGGUGGACGUGGUCAGGUGCAGGGCAGAGGCUGCAGCUGGCUUUGCCUGGGUGGUGUGGCGCAAAGGGUGCCAAGAGCGGAUAAGGAGUGGGCUUUCAGGAGGGCACUUAUAUCUAGGGAUCAAUCUGGCAACCACAGGCACGUUCCCUGGCCCUUAUGGGGUGUCCAGCAGCAGUGGCUGGUCACGAAGGAGAAAGCCUGGGAGCAGAAGACGGCGGGGAGGAGAAGAUGAGGAUGUCGGGGGACCUGCCAGCGGAGGCUGAAGAAGGCGAGGAAUGGCUCAGGACACCAGGCGUCCUGCACCCGCGCUCCCAGGCUCCUGUUCAACGCUGGGGGAGGUUCUGACAUCCCCAGCGGAUCCAUCCAGUGGUGCCAGGGAAGAGAAGAAUGAUGCAAUAAAACCUCAGAUAAAGCCCCCGGGCUGUGCCCUCCUCCAUUGCCAAGCCCAGCUCUGCCUUAGCCCACACCUGGGGUCCGCCCACCGCCCACGCAAAUCUGUCUUGGCAGUAGUUGUUGUUGUUGUUGUUGUAGUGGUGUGUGUCUUUGGCGAGGACAGGGCGAGUUUGUCAGGAGGCAGCUUAGGAAAGUCUCCUGUGGAGACAGAGGAAGUGUUGGUGGCGGAGGCCGUUGUUGCAGGAGCCUUGAAGUAGGUGUUUGCUGCAGCCCUUGUGCAGGAGGAGCAGGUGGCUCUGUGAAGGCUUUGUUGUGUGAGCUUGUGUCAGGGGAGAACAGGGAAGCGUUGUGGUGUUGGAGGCUGCAAACACGGAUGGUUUCUUGGCAGGUAGUUGUUGGUGGACGUGGUCAGGUGCAGGGCAGAGGCUGCAGCUGGCUUUGCCUGGGUGGUGUGGCGCAAAGGGUGCCAAGAGCAGAUAAGGAGUGGGCUUUCAGGAGGGCACUUAUAUCUAGGGAUCAAUCUGGCAACCACAGGCACAUUCCCUGGCCCUUACGGGGUGUCCAGCAGCAGUGGCUGGUCACAAAGGAGAAAGCCUGGGAGCAGAAGACGGCGGGGAGGAGAAGAUGAGGAUGUCGGGGGACCUGCCAGCGGAGGCUGAAGAAGAACGAGGACGUCGGGGGACCUUCAGCA